AAUGGUCAGGGGUCCCUUUACCUUUUACAUCUUAUCGACAUAGAUCAAGAGUCUUGACUUAAAUAAUGUAUAUAUUUUUUAAUCAUUAGGACAGGGAAGCCCCCUCCAGAUGGCGCUCCGACACCCAUCAGGCACAGCCAGAAAGGUUAGGGAUGCUGAGAGUUGGAGUCCAACGGUGUGGCAAGACAACCAGCAUGGAAACAUCCUGCUUUUGCAAAGAUCAUUUUAUUCAGCUUAAGAAAUAAAGCAGAAAAAGAGGCAGAAAGGUAUUCAAAACAAAGCAUAUUUGUAUUCAAAGGAAAGCUAGAGAUGAAGAGAAAGAGAAAGCGAACAAUACUAUUUUAUAAAAUAAAACAAAAAUCAGCAAAAAGGGAUUAAAAAGAGCUACACACAGGCAGUCGGUUUGUUUGUUAGGGCUGUUCAGUAACAUCUCCCCUUUCUUGCUAGUAGCGUCCAAUUUUUCAGGGGAAAUUCAUGGCCUUAAAUAAACCCUAGAAUGCAACACAGGAACCUGUGGCCCUCCAAACAUGGUCUACAACUCCCAUUAUUCGUGACCAUUUUCCAUGCAGGCUGGGGAUGGGAGCUGAGAGUUCAAAAACAUACUGAAGGCUGCAAGCUCCCUGUGUCUUGCGUACACCAGUGAAGAUUCUGGUGGUGCAGAUACAGAUCAGGGCUGGGGAUCCUGUGGCCCUCCAGAGGUUGUGGGACUACAAAUCCCAACACCCUCCAACCCAUGGUGGCUGCAGGCCUAAUGGGAGUUGGAGUCGAACAAUCCUCUGGAGGGUCACAAUUUCACCUCCUAUAAUUGCUGGCGGGAAUGAAAUGUGUGAUUCUUCCUUCUGUGGUUAUUUUUUUUUAGGUAACCACACAACUUUCAGACCGCAGAUUCCUGUAUUUGGGAUCUAGUAAAGGGUCCCCGUCAGAUGCCACACUCCAAAGAGGCCUUUCCCGAAUACCGGCAUAGAUUCUCCACAGUUAUGUGUUUAUCUGAAAUAAGUGACAGAAACAUCACACGCAGAGGGACAUUACUUAUUUGAAAAGGCACCUGUGCUUUUCUCCCUCUUUAUAAUCUUUUUCCAGUAUCUGAAGCACAUGGGUGCCAGACUUCUAAAUCCACUCUUCUCCCUGGC